rnacentral:rRNA from 1 species
CAGUCGAACGAAACUUCUUUAUCACCGAGUGCUUGCACUCACCGAUACAGAGUUGAGUGGCGAACGGGUGAGUAACACGUGGGCAACCUGCCCAAAAGAGGGGGAUAACACUUGGAAACAGGUGCUAAUACCGCAUAACCAUAGUUACCGCAUGGUAACUAUGUAAAAGGUGGCUAUACUACCGCUUUUGGAUGGGCCCGCGGCGCAUUAGCUAGUUGGUAGGGUAAAGGCUUACCAAGGCAAUGAUGCGUAGCCGAAUUGAGAGGUUGAUCGACCACAUUGGGACUGAGACACGGCCCAAACUCCUACGGGAGGCAGCAGUAGGGAAUCUUCCACAAUGGGCGAAAGCCUGAUGGAGCAACGCCGCGUGGGUGAGGAAGGUCUUCGGAUCGUAAAACCCUGUUGUUAGAGAAGAAAGUGCGUGAGAGUAACUGUUCACGUUUCGACGGUAUCUAACCAGAAAGCCACGGCUAACUAUGUGCCAGCAGCCGCGGUAAUACGUAGGUGGCAAGCGUUAUCCGGAUUUAUUGGGCGUAAAGGGAACGCAGGCGGUCUUUUAAGUCUGAUGUGAAAGCCUUCGGCUUAACCGGAGUAGUGCAUUGGAAACUGGGAGACUUGAGUGCAGAAGAGGAGAGUGGAACUCCAUGUGUAGCGGUGAAAUACGUAGAUAUAUGGAAGAACACCAGUGGCGAAAGCGGCUCUCUGGUCUGUAACUGACGCUGAGGUUCGAAAGCGUGGGUAGCAAACAGGAUUAGAUACCCUGGUAGUCCACGCCGUACACGAUGAAUGCUAAGUGUUGGAGGGUUUCCGCCCUUCAGUGCUGC